GGCCAGACUCCUACGGGAGGCAGCAGUGGGGAAUAUUGCACAAUGGGGGAAACCCUGAUGCAGCGACGCCGCGUGAGCGAUGAAGUAUUUCGGUAUGUAAAGCUCUAUCAGCAGGGAAGAAAAUGACGGUACCUGACUAAGAAGCCCCGGCUAACUACGUGCCAGCAGCCGCGGUAAUACGUAGGGGGCAAGCGUUAUCCGGAUUUACUGGGUGUAAAGGGAGCGUAGACGGUGAAGCAAGUCUGAAGUGAAAGGCGGGGGCUCAACCCCCGGACUGCUUUGGAAACUGUUUGACUGGAGUGCAGGAGAGGUAAGUGGAAUUCCUAGUGUAGCGGUGAAAUGCGUAGAUAUUAGGAGGAACACCAGUGGCGAAGGCGGCUUACUGGACUGUAACUGACGUUGAGGCUCGAAAGCGUGGGGAGCAAACAGGAUUAGAUACCCUAGUA
rnacentral:rRNA from 1 species